UACGUAGGGGGCAAGCGUUGUCCGGAUUUAUUGGGCGUAAAGAGCGUGUAGGCGGCCACACAGGUCUGCUGUGAAAACUCGAGGCUCAACCUCGAGCUGUCGGUGGAAACCGUGUGGCUAGAGUCCGGAAGAGGAGAGUGGAAUUCCCGGUGUAGCGGUGAAAUGCGCAGAUAUCGGGAGGAACACCAGUGGCGAAGGCGACUUCCUGGCCUGUUCUUGGACGCUGAGGCGCGAAAGCUAGGGGAGCAAACGGG
rnacentral:rRNA from 1 species